UUUUUUUUUUUUGGCGCACCAAAAAUAUUCUCGUCGCUUUAUAAUAUUACUAUUGAACCACUGUACUCACAUGAACUGAUUUUAAUAUGUUUUUAGUACCUUUAUGGAUCUUGAGAGAGGAAAUGUCAUUGCUCCCUAUAUAGGCCUCACGGAGCCAUCGGAUUUAAACCAAAAUAUCUCAAUUUGCGUUCCGAAGAUUAACGAAGGUCUUACGGGUGUGGAACGGCAUGAGCGUGAGUAAUAAAUGACAGAAUUUUCAUUUUUGGGUGAACUAACCCUUUAAGGACUCUUAGAGUAAAGAGUUAAAGUUCUGGUGUUGAAUUUCAAUGGAUUAGGCUAGUGUAAACAGCACCCAACCCCAUCAACACUGUUGCUAUGUUCGAAAUCGCCCCCUAUACACUCAUUCACUGUUCCCUACGUUACUCCACUAAUAUAGUCCACUUGAAGGAGUAAAUUAAACGAGUGCGUGAAUUCGGACACUGAGUGCGCCGGAAGGGCUGCCGAUUUCGCAUAGUUUGUGCUGCUGUGCUGUUUAAUAAUCUUUUGAAAUGUAGCAAACUGGCAGCUCCAGUAGUAAUGCAUAUUUAUGUUGAACUAGCAUGUUCAAACCUUUUAAACGAUUUAAUGAUCAAUUAAAAAGGAAUUUAUACCUGUAUGAUAAUGAUGGACCAGUGCGGUUUGGAAAAUGAAUGGAUGAUUGAUUCAGCUGCGGGCGCCAUCUCCUGGCGAGACGCGGGAAUUCAUUCAGCGCGCGACUCUCACACUGCUUUAUUUGUAUUCUCUAGCGGUUGAGCGUGCAUCGGUUGUACACUCGUUAUUGCUGUACAUUGUGGGAUUGAAUGAGGUCACUGAAAAUCGUCCACUAUGGUUUCGGACACCACUACAAAUGGCUGUCCCCUCAAAUAGUGCCCUAUUUAAGGGUAUAGGGGGCGAUUUCGGACACAGCCAAUGAGUGGAAUUAGUUACAUCCGGGACAUUUACGUGCUGUGCGGGCCUUUUCCACAGACGCCAUUUUCUUUGACUCGCGAUGAGGUGCAUACGAGCACGGAAAACACAAAGUAAGUGUUUUAUCCGAUUUACGAUAUGUAUUUUAUAACAUCAUAUAAUGAUAUUCAUGUGCUGUGUGUGUGCGCAUGUGCCUAAACUUUUCUCAUAGACAUUUUCUUUAAAUCGCGGAGUGGUGCAGACGAGGUGGCUGGCUUUUAACAGGGAAAACUCAAAAAGAUGAGUUAUGACAGUCAUAACCAAAUAUUACAACAAGAAGCACUAUAGACGCAGAGAAAAAGAGCGUGAGUUACUGAAAAUGUCCUUAGCCCAGUGAGGGCAGCUGAAAUGUGCUGAUGUAAGGGGUCACAUGACAGGAAGGUCCAAUCAUCAAGGAGUCUCAAGGAGCACUCCUACUGCAAUAUUGAGAGAGAUGCAUCCAGCAGCUUGCAGAAAUAGGGGUGUUAGACCUGCAGAACUGAAGCACAUCUCUGUUGGACUGAACCUCACUGCAGCUGUUGUGAGCUGAUACUCCUGCUUUGAGUGAAUCCUGCUGCUCUCUUACAACAUAAACCGCACAAACACAAGCAAUCUGAAAUGCUUUACAGAUGACUGUUGCACCACUGAAAUUUUACUGCACAGUAUGGACAUGUUACUUCAUAAUUAUAUGAGAAAAUAUUUUUCUUCAUGGUUUUAGGCACAAGAAUAACUUAUUUUAGCUUCAUUCGUGUACAUAAAAGAUUCAGAAUCUGGCAGAAGCAGAACUGAACUAUAAAAGAAAAACUGGAGACAGAAGUCUAAAUUCUAUUAUUUUGGUUAUGUAAAUCUCCUAAUCA